UAGACACUGGGAUAUGCGUUAGGUUAAGAAGAUUUUUAACCCUAACAACUAAAAGGGCUUACGCGUUCGGCUCAUAAUGUCAAGCCCCCCGGGCGAAAGCCCGACGCCAGGGGAAGACAAAAGGGAGCGACAGUUCGCCCACCUGCACAAAUGCGGGUUUGUUAAUCCUUAAUUCUAACGGUAUUCCGGUGUUGAA
rnacentral:other from 1 species